AUUGAACGCUGGCGGCAUGCCUAACACAUGCAAGUCGAGCGGAGCGGCGGACGGGUGAGUAAUGCAUCGGAAUGUGCCUGGUAGCGGGGGAUAACGUCCGGAAACGGUCGCUAAUACCGCAUACUAUUAGAUCCGCCGCUAUCGGAUUAGCUAGUUGGUGGGGUAAAGGCUCACCAAGGCUACGAUCCGUCACUGGUCUGAGAGGAGGACCAGCCAAAUUGGAACUGGGAACCGGCCCAGACUCCUACGGAAGGAAGCAGUGGGGAAGUUUGGACAAUGGGCGAAAGCCUGCCACGGCCAUACGCGGUGUGUGAGGAAGGUUUUCGGAUUGUAAAGCACGUUAAGUUGGAAGGCGGUACCUAAAGAAUAAGCACCGGCUAACUACGUGCCAGCAGCCGCGGUAAUUC
rnacentral:rRNA from 1 species